AGACGGGAUUAGUUACCCUGUUAGUCCACGCCGUAAACGAUGGAUACUAGCUGUUCGUCUAACGUUGGUUAGAUGAGUGGCUAAGCGAAAGUGAUAAGUGUCCCACCUGGGGAGUACGAUCGCAAGAUUGAAACUCAAAGGAAUUGACGGGGGCCCGCACAAGCGGUGGAGCAUGUGGUUUAAUUCGAUGAUACGCGAGGAACCUUACCAGGGCUUAAAUGUAGUGGGACAGGUCUAGAGAUAGACCCUUCUUCGGACUCAUUACAAGGUGCUGCAUGGUUGUCGUCAGCUCGUGCCGUGAGGUGUCAGGUUAAGUCCUAUAACGAGCGCAACCCCUAUCGUUAGUUGCCAGCGAGUAAUGUCGGGAACUCUAACGAAACUGCCAGUGCAAACUGUGAGGAAGGUGGGGAUGACGUCAAAUCAUCACGGCCCUUACGUCCUGGGCUACACACGUGCUACAAUGGUGCAUACAGAGGGCAGCAACCUGGUGACAGGAAGCGAAUCUCGAAAGUGCAUCUCAGUUCGGAUUGAAGUCUGCAACUCGACUUCAUGAAGCCGGAAUUGCUAGUAAUCGCGCAUCAGCCAUGGCGCGGUGAAUACGUUCCCGGGCCUUGUACACACCGCCCGUCAAGCCAUGGAAGCUGGGAGUGCCUGAAGUCGGUAACCGCAAGGAGCUGCCUAGGGUAAAACUGGUAACUGGGGCUAAGUCGUAACAAGGUAGCCGUACCGGAAGGUGCGGCUG
rnacentral:rRNA from 1 species